UACGUAGGGGGCUAGCGUUGUCCGGAUUUAUUGGGCGUAAAGAGCGUGUAGGCGGCCAGGUAGGUCUGCUGUGAAAACUCGAGGCUCAACCUCGAGAUGUCGGCGGAAACCAUCUGGCUAGAGUCCGGAAGAGGAAAGUGGAAUUCCUGGUGUAGCGGUGAAAUGCGUAGAUAUCUGGAGGAAUACCGGUGGCGAAGGCGGCAUCCUGGACCGAGAUUGACGCUGAUGAGCGAAAGCUAGGGGAGCAAACGGG
rnacentral:rRNA from 1 species